AGCCAUGGAGAAGGAUCAGCGGCCCUGGUGAAGAUCUAGUUAUCAUGAUCGCAACUACGGUGCAAUAUUUCAUUGCACCAUAGAUCAUGAAACUCACAGAUCAAAGCCAGGAGGUGAAGAUACUAAUAUUGGCAAAGGGUGACAAGAGUAUGGAUGACAAUAGGGCAAUGUUGACUUUUCAAUUCUCAUAUGAGCACACAAAAGAAUUCUUUACCGAAUUAUUUGUCGAAAAGUCUGAAGCAGGUAGAGGGAAGAGCUGGAAAGUGCUUGUUACUAUCAGCAUUUCGAGAUGUUCUUCGUGAUUGCAUUUAUUUUAU